UCCCUUUCAUUCAUCUCACCUGACAUUAAAAGGGGCUCACACGUUUCUUAGGUUCCAAGAAUUUUCUACCAUGAGCAUUUUUAUAGGAAGAGUCUAGAAGAUUGGAAAACCAAGACCCUAAACCUAAGACUGAGGACUGUCGUUUUCUUCACCCCUUUUAUUAGACAUUUUAGCUCCCCCAAGAAGAGCAGCGGCACCUCCCCAAAAAUGAAAAUUUCUCGAUCGUUUCCAUAGCCAGAUUCUCACCUCACCUCCUCUCAAAAAGCUUCAGUCACCCUACCCUCUUCAAAAUACCCCUAUUGCCACCUUCAAAGCCAGUCAUAAAACAGGCCUUGUCACGGUCGUUUGCUGCGGUAUUCUGUCCGGAUCGAGUCGAGUUCGCCGCCGUCGUUCGAGCUCCAGUCUUGGUUCGAGAUUUUCGUACAUUUAGCUCAAGUUUUCUGGCCAGUUUUUUGGUCGUUGAUUCAAAGAUCAGACCUUCAAUGGAGUUUCUUCAUGUUUAAAAUAAAGAAAGAUUCUAUUCAAAGAAUCCAGAUUUGCUUGUAGCUAUUGGAUCUUUCACUAAAUUAAAGAAGCUCAUAUGAGUUAGUUUCGCUAGAUUUGAGCCGUCUGGAGUUAUUUCAUCCGAGGAGUUCAUUUUUGAAUAUCGAAUUGUCUUCUUGAGAUCCAGGUAUUUCGAAGUCGGUUGAUCUUUAGCUAGUUGUGUGGAUUGUUAUUGAGGAGACUCAACGUAAACCUGUUGCCGCGUUCCCAGGCUUCAUAGUCACCUUCUUAUUUUGUAUUUACAAUGUUCACUCUUAUUUCGAGACAGUUGUAUUUAGAGGUUUUCUAGCAACUCUGUAGAGCUUUAUGACUUGUACUACCGGUUUUGGGUUAUAAAUUUUAAAGUGAUUUCUAUUUCA